rnacentral:rRNA from 1 species
CCUACGGGAGGCUGCAGUAGGGAAUCUUUCACAAUGGGCGAAAGCCUGAUGGAGCAACGCCGCGUGCAGGAUGAAGGCCUUCGGUUUGUAAACUGCUUUUAUAAGCGAGAAAUAUGAUGGUAACUUAUUAAUAAGGCUCGGCUAACUACGUGCCAGCAGCCGCGGUCAUACGUAGGAUCCGAGCAUUAUCCGGAGUGCCUGGGUGUAAAGAGUUGGGUGGGUGGCAUAAUAAGUAGCUAGUGAAAUCUGGUGGCUCAACCAUUCAGACUAUUAGCUAAACUGUUAAUCUCGAGACCGUUAGGGGUAACUGGAAUUUCUAGUGUAGGAGUGAAAUCCGUAGAUAUUAGAAGGAACACCAAUAGCGAAGGCAGGUUGCUGGGACGGUUCUGACACUAAGGCACGAAAGCGUAGGGAGCAAACGGGAUUAGAUACCCCAGUAGUC